AGCGGCCGCUCUGUUUGAUCCCGGCGGAGGUUACUGCUAUCGAGGUUCGACUAAGCCAUGCGAGUCGAAUGUAGCAAUACAUGGCGUACUGCUCAGUAACACGUGGACAACCUACCCUUGGGAUGGGGAUAAACCCGGGAAACUGGGUAUAAUACCCGAUAGUCCUCGAAUGCUGGAAUGCAUCGAGGUCGAAUGCUCCGGUGCCCAAGGAUGGGUCUGCGGCCUAUCAGGCAGUAGUGGGUGUAGCGUACCUACUAGCCUACGACGGGUACGGGUUGUGAGAGCAAGAGCCCGGAGAUGGAUUCUGAGACACGAAUCCAGGCCCUACGGGGUGCAGCAGGCGCGAAAACUUUACAAUGCUGGAAACAGCGAUAAGGGAACCUCGAGUGCCAGGUUACAAAUCUGGCUGUCGUGAUGCCUAAAAAGCAUUGCAUAGCAAGGGCCGGGCAAGACCGGUGCCAGCCGCCGCGGUAACACCGGCGGCUCGAGAGGUAACCGUUAUUAUUGGGUCUAAAGGGUCUGUAGCCGGCCGGAUAAGUCUCUUGGGAAAUCCAGCAGCUCAACUGUUGGGCUUUCAGGAGAUACUGUCUGGCUCGAGGCCGGGAGAGGUGAGAGGUACUUCAGGGGUAGGGGUGAAAUCUUGUAAUCCUUGAAGGACCACCAGUGGUGAAGGCGUCUCACCAGAACGGACCUGACGGCAAGGGACGAAAGCUAGGGGCACGAACCGGAUUAGAUACCCGGGGUAGUCCUAGCCGUAAACGAUACUCGCUAGGUGUCGGCCACGGUGCGACCGUUGUCGGUGCCGUAGGGAAGCCGUGAAGCGAGCCACCUGGGAAGUACGGCCGCAAGGCUGAAACUUAUAGGAAUUGGCGGGGGAGCACCUCAACGGGUGGAGCUUGCGGUUUAAUUGGAUUCAACGCCGGAAAUCUUACCGGGACCGACAGCAAUAUGAAGGCCAGGCUGAAGACUUAGCCGGAUUAGCUGAGAGGUGGUGCAUGGCCGUCGUCAGUUCGUACUGUGAAGCAUCCUGUUAAGUCAGGCAACGAGCGAGACCC
rnacentral:rRNA from 1 species